UUCUAUCCGCCUGGGGACUACGAGCAUAAGCUUAAAACCCAAAGGACUUGGCGGUGCUUUAGAUCCACCUAGAGGAGCCUGUUCUAGAACCGAUAACCCCCGUUAAACCUCACCUUUUCUUGUUCUACCCGCCUAUAUACCACCGUCGUCAGCUUAUCCUGUGAAGGACUAUUAAUAAACAGAAUUGGCACAGCCCAAAACGUCAGGUCGAGGUGUAGCGUACGGAAAGGGAAGAAAUGGGCUACAUUCUCUAUCUAGAGAACACGAAUGAUAAACUGAARAACGUAUCUGAAGGAGGA
rnacentral:rRNA from 1 species